rnacentral:lncRNA from 10 species
GAGCUUGCAGUGAGCCGAGAUUGCACCACUGCACUCCAGCCUGGGGGACAGAGCGAGACUCCAUCUCAAAAAACAAACAAACAAAAAAACAAAAACAAAAACUGAGGCCAGGUGCAGUGGCCCACGCCUGUAAUCCCAACACUUUGGGAAGCCGAGGCCAGGGGAUCGCCUGAGGUCAGGAGUUCGAGACCAGCCUGGCCAGCUGGCCAAGAUGGUGAAACCCCAUCUAUAUUGCGUGAGGCUGAGGUUUGGAGUACAAAUGAAUCUGUCACCCAGAUGUGCUUCUAAACACUAAGAGAACGGGUCAAGGGCAGAGGAUUUCUGUGGGAUCUGUGCUCACUCAUAGUCAUGGUAGAGGAAGCUGAAUCCCAGAGCAAAGGACACCAGGAAGAGGAGAGGGUUUCUCUGGAAACAGCAGGGUAGGUGCAGGCUGACGUGCUUAUUGACAUGGCAACCUGAACACACCUGGAGACACCUGCUCCACCACCCAGAUGGCCAUGAAUGGAGCAAGUUCUUCCCACUGUUGCUCUCUUCUCUUUUCUGCAAAGUUACACAAGGGUCAAGUCCCAUCAAGGGUCCCAUCUCCAUCUUUUCUCAAGAUGAAGCUGGAAGUCAUCUUGCCACUGGGACCCACCCUUUGGAAAGACCUCUGCCCAGACAAGGAAAGUGCUGCCUCAAUUGCAUGAUUUGAGUGACUUUGGGAGGGUAUUCCUGUCCCCAAAUAGACCUCCUCUCCUGACAUGUCACACUGGCCGAAAUUCCACUAUUACAGCUGUUCUUUUCAGGUAAAAAGAAAUGAAACCUCUUUCUAAAUAUAAACACUCCCAGAAAGGGUACUUGAUGUUUGUCGAUUGUAAUUUUUUCUCACAUAAAGAUGUUUUUUC